AUAUGUAUGUAGAGUAUAUAUAUAUAUAUAUAUAUGUGUAUAUAGAGUAUAUAUAAUAAUAUUGAUAUGAGUAAUAACAGCAUGUAUGAUAUCUCUGCUUUUUGCAAGCACACUUUGCCAGAUGUGUAACGUUAAUUCAAAAAGUGUUAUAUAGGUAAAGCUUGACUCAUGCAGAAUUGUAUCAAUACUUGAAUGUUGUCUGCAUACUUGCAGAUCACCUUACACCCGUUUUUGAUUAUUUGAUUAUAUUUUUAUCCAAAGCAUCCGUCUGCCACAUGGCCUGAUUUAGCAGCUGUCAUAAAGUCAUAAAGAGUUUUUGUUUUGAUUUUACUCUAUAAUUACCCAAUAGUAAUUACAGGUAAUUCUAAUACUACAACUUGUCAUUAUAUUGAUUUUGCUCAUCUUUACUUUUAUUUCCUGACAAUUUCUGCACAUUACUACGUCAAAUGUUAAAUGGCUAUGACGCUCCAACCUGAUUCCACACAACAAGUUGUUAUGAAAUGUCCAGGUUACAUCCAGUAUAACUGUUGUUUCAACAGCAUUUAAAUGACUAUAUUUCAUCAUCUGAAUACGGUCAUUUAAUAACCCUGAUUCUGGGUCAGAGCUAUUCAUGAUAUCAUUAAAUAAUGUUGAUGAUGACGUUGAAUAAACUAUCACAUUUAGCCCAUUGAUUGGUUGAUCGGAGAUCAUCGUCUGUGAUGUCAUGACUGACAUCAUGACAACAGAGACGUCAUGACUGACGUCAUGACAACAGAGACGUCAUGACUGACGUCACGACAACAGAGACGUCAUGACUGACGUCAUGACAACAGAGACGUCAUGACUGACAUCAUGACAACAGAGACGUCAUGACUGACGUCACAGUCCUCGCUCGAAAAGUUUACUUAUAGGACCCGCGCUGCGAUCAGGUUCAGAUCAUCGUGGUUAAUAUUGCUGGAAAGCUGGGUUGUUCGGUGCCGGUCGGGGUUCUCUAUGAGGCCUCUCCGGAUCAACAUUGAGCAAUCGAGGACUAUCAGCUGUUAACUGAAGAAGACGGAAGACUGAAGACUGAAGACUGAAGACUGAAGACUGAAGAUGCAACGUGGUGGGUGGUGGGGGUGACUGACUGACUGACUGACUGACUGACUGA